rnacentral:rRNA from 1 species
UACAGAGGGUGCGAGCGUUAAUCGGAAUUACUGGGCGUAAAGCGCACGUAGGUGGCGACGUAAGUCGGGUGUGAAAUCCCCGGGCUCAACCUGGGAAUUGCGAUGGAGACUGCAAGGCUAGAAUCUGGCAGAGGGGGGGUAGAAUUCCACGUGUAGCAGUGAAAUGCGUAGAGAUGUGGAGGAACACCGAUGGCGAAGGCAGCCCCCUGGGUCAAGAUUGACGCUCAUGCACGAAAGCGUGAGGAGCAAACAGG